rnacentral:lncRNA from 1 species
CAGCAUACGUCCAGGGGAGGAUCUUGUCCAAGGAAUAUGUGAACCGAGAUCCCCUUAGCCCCCUCUUCAUAGUCGAGAUAGCCAUGUCUUCAUUAAGGUCUCGGACCUCAAGUGUGGCCACGUUGAAUCGGGCCACAAAGUGUCGGAGCGUCUCGUUUUCUCCCUGUUUGAGGGAGAAAAGACUGUUCGAGGUUCGCGACGACUUCCGAUUAGUGCUGAAGUGAGCCACGAAAGAAUGCUCGAGCUGUCCGAAGGAGUGGAUACUCCCUGAGUGGAUGUCGGAGUACCAGGUCCUGGUAGCUUUACGAAGCGUGGUGGGGAAGCCGA